GCAGCAGUGGGGAAUAUUGGACAAUGAGCGAAAGCUUGAUCCAGCAAUGUCGCGUGUGUGAUGAAGGUUUAAACUGUAAAACACUUUUUUUAGGGAAUAAAAAAUUUUAACUAAUAAUUAAAGUUUCUGAAUGUACCUAAAGAAUAAGUACCGGCUAAUCACGUGCCAGCAGCCGCGGUAAAACGUGAGGUGCAAGCGUUAAUCAAAAUUAUUGGGCGUAAAGUGUAUUCAGGUUGUCUAAAAAGAUUUAUAUUAAAUCUUUAAGCUUAACUUAAAAAAUGUAUAAAUUACUUUUAGACUUGAGUGUAAUAUAGGAAAAUAGAAUUUUGUGUGUAGCAGUAAAAUGCGUAGAUAUACAAAGGAAUGCCGAAGGCGAAAGCAAUUUUCUUGUUUAUAACUGACACUUAUAUACGAAAGCGUGGGGAGCAAACAGGAUUAGAUACCCUGGUAGUCCACGCCCUAAAAUAUGUCGAUUAGCUAUUUUUUAGUAGCGUAGCUAACGCGUUAAAUCGACCGCCUGGGGAUUACGAUCGCAAGAUUAAAACUCAAAGGAAUUGACGGGGACCAGCACAAGCGGUGGAUGAUGUGGAUUAAUUCGAUGAUACACGAAAAACCUUACCUACCCUUGACAUGACUAGAAUUUCAAUGAAAGUUGAAAGUGCUUGAAAGAGAACUAGUAUACAGGUGCUGCAUGGCUGUCGUCAGCUCGUGUCGUGAGAUGUUGGGUUAAGUCCCGCAACGAGCGCAACCCUUACUCUUAGUUGCUAAAUUAGAACUUUAAGAGAACUGCCGACGAUAAGUCAAGGAGGAAGGAGGGGAAGACUUCAAGUCCUCAUGGCCCUUAUGGGUAGGGCUUCACACGUCAUACAAUGGUUGAUACAAAAAGUUGCAAAAUCGCAAGAUAGAGCUAAUCUUAAAAAUCAAUCUUAGUUCGGAUUGUACUCUGCAACUCGAGUGCAUGAAGCUGGAAUCGCUAGUAAUCGCAAAUCAGCAUGUUGCGG
rnacentral:rRNA from 1 species